rnacentral:rRNA from 1 species
AUUGAACGCUGGCGGCAUGCCUUACACAUGCAAGUCGAACGGUAACGCGGGGCAACCUGGCGACGAGUGGCGAACGGGUGAGUAAUGCAUCGGAACGUGCCCAGAAGUGGGGGAUAACUACUCGAAAGAGUGGCUAAUACCGCAUGAGACCUGAGGGUGAAAGCGGGGGAUCGCAAGACCUCGCGCUUUUGGAGCGGCCGAUGUCAGAUUAGGUAGUUGGUGGGGUAAAGGCCUACCAAGCCGACGAUCUGUAGCUGGUCUGAGAGGACGACCAGCCACACUGGGACUGAGACACGGCCCAGACUCCUACGGGAGGCAGCAGUGGGGAAUAUUGGGCAAUGGGCGAAAGCCUGACCCAGCGACACCGCGUGGGUGAUGAAAGCCUUCGGGUUGUAAAGCCCUUUCGUGCGGAAAGAACUGUUCCGCGGUUAAUACCCGCGGAAUUUGACGGUACCGCAGGAAGAAGCACCGGCUAACUCCGUG